rnacentral:rRNA from 1 species
UACAGAGGGUGCGAGCGUUGUCCGGAAUCACUGGGCGUAAAGGGCGCGUAGGUGGCGCCGCAAGUCCAUGGUGAAAGCUCGAUGCUCAACAUCGAGACGGCCACGGAGACUGCGGGGCUCGAGCACUGUAGGGGCAGAUGGAAUUCCGGGUGUAGCGGUGGAAUGCGUAGAGAUCCGGAAGAACACCGGUGGCGAAGGCGGUCUGCUGGGCAGUUGCUGACACUGAGGCGCGACAGCGUGGGGAGCAAACAGG